rnacentral:rRNA from 1 species
GACGAACGCUGGCGGCGUGCUUAACACAUGCAAGUCGAACGGAAAGGCUCCAGCUUGCUGGAGUACUCGAGUGGCGAACGGGUGAGUAACACGUGGGUAAUCUGCCCUGCACUCUGGGAUAAGCCUGGGAAACUGGGUCUAAUACUGGAUAUGACCUUUCUCCUUAUGGGGUUGGGUGGAAAGUUUUUCGGUGUAGGAUGAGCCCGCGGCCUAUCAGCUUGUUGGUGGGGUGAUGGCCUACCAAGGCGACGACGGGUAGCCGGCCUGAGAGGGUGAUCGGCCACAUUGGGACUGAGAUACGGCCCAGACUCCUACGGGAGGCAGCAGUGGGGAAUAUUGCACAAUGGGCGGAAGCCUGAUGCAGCGACGCCGCGUGCGGGAUGACGGCCUUCGGGUUGUAAACCUCUUUCAGCAGGGACGAAGCGUAAGUGACGGUACCUGCAGAAGAAGCACCGGCUAACUAUGUG